CCGCCGGCGACCGGCGCACGGGUGAGUAACACGUAUGCAACCUGCCCCUGUCAGGGGGACAACCCGCCGAAAGGCGGGCUAAACCCGCGUACAUGCCACCGGGGCAUCCCGGAGGCAGGAAAGGCUUCGGCCGGACAGGGAUGGGCAUGCGGCGCAUUAGGCAGUAGGCGGGGUAACGGCCCACCUAACCGACGAUGCGUAGGGGUUCUGAGAGGAAGGUCCCCCACACUGGUACUGAGACACGGACCAGACUCCUACGGAAGGCAGCAG
rnacentral:rRNA from 1 species